rnacentral:lncRNA from 1 species
GCCCACCUUGUGCCAUUUUGCCUAUGAGUUUUGAAGAUACCAAGGACCAGCUGCUUCUGUGAACUUCAUUGACAACUGGAAGGACUUGACAGUGAGAAUCUACCUUAUGGUCUUCUCUUCCUCCAGGCAAGAAGAUUGAAAUUGAUAAUUUUCAUCUUCAGAAAUCUACCCCAGUUUUCUGCCUCUGUUGAGACUUUGUACAACGCCUGGAAUCUGUACCAGCAUUGUAGGUACAAACCGGAGCAGCGGCGCGCUCGGGAGCCGGGUGAGCAGAGGGAAGCAACUCCACACACACCUAAGGGGAAGUUCGCCGGGAUGCGAAGCAGCAAAAGUAAACCGGUUUACUUUGCAGAGGGAAAUCUCUGCUUGGCACCUUUCCCCGCAGCUAAGCCGAGCGGCUCCG